rnacentral:tRNA from 1 species
GCUGGAGUAGCUCAGUUGGUAGAGCAGCUGAUUCGUAAUCAGCAGGUCGACAGUUCAAUUCUGUUCUCCAGCU